UACGUAGGGGGCGAGCGUUGUCCGGAGUUACUGGGCGUAAAGGGUAUGCAGGCGGUCAGACGCGUUUUUGUGUGACAGCGGAGGGCUUCACUCUCCGAGCAUACGAAAGACGGUGUGACUUGAGGGCUCGAGAGGGACACGGAAUUCCGGGUGGAGUGGUGAAAUGCGUAGAGAUCCGGAGGAACACCGAAGGCGAAGGCAGUGUCCUGGCGAGUAUCCUGACGCUGAGGUGCGAAAGCCAGGGGAGCGAACGGG
rnacentral:rRNA from 1 species